UACAGAGGUGCCGAGCGUUAGGCGGAAUCACUGGGCUUAAAGCGUGUGUAGGCGGAUGCCUAAGUACCUUGUGAAAUCCCACAGCUCAACUGUGGAACUGCUUGGUAUACUGGGUGUCUUGAGCCACUUAGGGGUUACCGGAACAAAUGGUGGAGCGGUGAAAUGCGUAGAUAUCAUUUGGAACGCCAAUGGUGAAAACAGGUAACUGGGAGUGUGCUG
rnacentral:rRNA from 1 species